UACGGGGGGGGCAAGCGUUGUUCGGAAUUACUGGGCGUAAAGGGCUCGUAGGUGGCCAACUAAGUCAGACGUGAAAUCCCUCGGCUUAACCGGGGAACUGCGUCUGAUACUGGAUGGCUUGAGUUUGGGAGAGGGACGCGGAAUUCCAGGUGUAGCGGUGAAAUGCGUAGAUAUCUGGAGGAACACCGGUGGCGAAGGCGGCUCACUGGACUGGUAUUGACGCUGAGGUGCGAAAGCGUGGGGAGCAAACAGG
rnacentral:rRNA from 1 species